GAAAGCAAGAAGCUUGAACAGUACAGAGAUUAAAGAAAAAGACCAUUUGUAACUCAUCAGGACUUCUGACACAUAACUUAUCAGCUGGAAAAAACUAUGAAGACCAUACUUCCUGAGAAGACAAGAAAACUUUUUGUGAGUAAAGAUAGAAUAAAUCCUAUGGCCUGUAUACAAUCACAGAAGUGGAGGCACUCAAAAUACUGUCAAGUUGGCGGAAGUGAAAAUAUUUCCUUGGGAAGUGAUCACCAUCUUCAAGGAGUGAAUGAAAAGAUAUCCGUGAACAAGUUCAUAUCUGAGAAGAAAAGACAAUUACUGAUCUUCUUCUGGGUGAAGUAGAUCUGAUUGUAUUUUUAGCAACAAAAAAAGUCCUUUGUAAUUAACACAAGAUCCUUUCAUCUCCAUCUUCUCCAAUGAAAUUUGAACAACUCAAAAGACAACCCCAAGAUAACUCCUGACUCUUUCUCACGUCUGUCCAUGUCUUUUGUUAUCAACACCAAAGGGGCACAACAAAAAAUCCUAGACAUUUCUGCCUAUCCCCCUACGGGCUUCGGCUUCUGCACCAAGAAACUAAACGAUGAAACGAAAUCAACACAAAUACUUUGACUAAUUCAAGCACAAGUCACACAAUAAAGAACAAUAAAUAACAUCA
rnacentral:lncRNA from 1 species